GUUCUGCAUAUAUGUGCUUGCAAGAAAGGGCAACUAAUAUGUUUCUAUUUGUUAGAGAGCUCUGAAUAAGAUUAUUGUUUCGUCCUCUUACAGAAUUUGCUCUCCUUCCUUUUUGAUGCUUUCAUGAUUGAUAAGGUCUCUUCAUGAUUAUGUUUACAUAUGCGAUGGAUGCGUCAACGAAAAAUUUCAGCUGAAGCUCCUGGUCCUCAAAGGUUACUGCUCUUUUUCAUAAGGACAUUGAUUCUUUCAAGAUAUAAUUGCUUGGAAACUGGGAACUUUGUAGAUCGUUUUUUUUCCUUCAAAAUGGAGGGGGUACCCCUGGCCUCUGCAUCGACUUUGUAGAUCAGGAUGUCUUUGGCAAUGGCACUGGACACAAAAUAAAAUCCUGACAAUCUCUAGGUGUUGAAGAAAUCGCGCAAUCAGGUGAAUACUGC